AUACGUAGGGUGCGAGCGUUGUCCGGAAUUACUGGGCGUAAAGAGCUCGUAGGUGGUUUGUCGCGUCGUCUGUGAAAUUCCGGGGCUUGACUCCGGGCGUGCAGGCGAUACGGGCAUAACUUGAGUACUGUAGGGGAGACUGGAAUUCCUGGUGUAGCGGUGAAAUGCGCAGAUAUCAGGAGGAACACCGGUGGCGAAGGCGGGUCUCUGGGCAGUAACUGACGCUGAGGAGCGAAAGCAUGGGUAGCGAACAGGAUUAGAUACCCUGGUAGUCCAUGCCGUAAACGGUGGGCGCUAGGUGUAGGGGUCUUCCACGACUUCUGUGCCGUAGCUAACGCAUUAAGCGCCCCGCCUGGGGAGUACGGCCGCAAGGCUAAAACUCAAAGGAAUUGACGGGG
rnacentral:rRNA from 1 species